rnacentral:rRNA from 1 species
AACGAACGCUGGCGGCGUGCCUAACACAUGCAAGUCGAGCGAGAAAGCCCGCAAGGGUGAGUAAAGCGGCGCACGGGUGCGUAACACGUGGGUAAUCUGCCCUGAAGUCCGGAAUAACUCGCCGAAAGGCGUGCUAAUGCCGGAUAAGACCACGGGAACUUCGGUUCCUGCGGGAAAAGGUGGCCUCUGUACACAAGCUAUCACUUCAGGAUGAGCCCGCGGCCCAUCAGCUAGUUGGCGGGGUAACGGCCCACCAAGGCUACGACGGGUAGCUGGGCUAAGAGGACGAUCAGCCACACUGGAACUGAGACACGGUCCAGACUCCUACGGGAGGCAGCAGUGGGGAAUCUUGCGCAAUGGGCGAAAGCCUGACGCAGCAACGCCGCGUGUGUGAUGAAGGUCUUCGGAUCGUAAAGCACUGUCGAGAGGGACGAAUAAGGCCGGCGCUAACAUCGCCGGCUGAUGACGGUACCUCUAAAGGAAGCACCGGCUAACUCUGUGCCAGCAGCCGCGGUAAGAC